rnacentral:rRNA from 1 species
UGUACUCACUACUUGUUCAUAGUAGUGGUUGCAGUAAACUCUACCCUGCUAACAAUUAACGCAGGAGACUACAUCUUCUACACCGAUUGGGCCUGGACUUCGUUUGUCGUAUUUUCAAUAUCACAAACACUGAUGUUAGUAGUCGGCGCAUGCUACUACCUGACAUUUACUGGAGUCCCAGGAACAGCAACGUAUUACGCGUUGAUAAUGACUGUUUACACAUGGGUAGCAAAAGGUGCAUGGUUUGCACUAGGAUACCCAUAUGACUUCAUUGUAACACCCGUUUGGCUUCCGUCAGCAAUGUUGCUUGACUUGGCGUACUGGGCUACAAAGAAGAACAAGCACUCACUGAUUCUAUUUGGUGGUGUGAUGUGUGGAAUGUCAUUGCCGUUGUUUAACAUGGUCAACCUCAUCACUGUGGCUGAUCCAUUAGAGACUGCAUUCAAAUAUCCAAGACCAACGCCUCCGCCGUAUAUGACUCCGAUAGAACCCGCCGUAGGCAAGUUCUAUAACAGUCCAGUCGCAUUAGGUGCUGGCGCCGGUGCUGUAUUAUCAGUAACCAUGGCCGCAUUGGGAUGUAAGCUGAACACG